AACGAACGCUGGCGGCAUGCCUAACACAUGCAAGUCGAACGAGACCUUCGGGUCUAGUGGCGCACGGGUGCGUAACGCGUGGGAAUCUGCCCUUGGGUUCGGAAUAACAGUUGGAAACGACUGCUAAUACCGGAUGAUGACGUAAGUCCAAAGAUUUAUCGCCCAAGGAUGAGCCCGCGUAGGAUUAGCUAGUUGGUGAGGUAAAGGCUCACCAGGGCGACGAUCCUUAGCUGGUCUGAGAGGAUGAUCAGCCACACUGGGACUGAGACACGGCCCAGACUCCUACGGGAGGCAGCAGUGGGGAAUAUUGGACAAUGGGCGAAAGCCUGAUCCAGCAAUGCCGCGUGAGUGAUGAAGGCCUUAGGGUUGUAAAGCUCUUUUACCCGGGAUGAUAAUGACAGUACCGGGAGAAUAAGCUCCGGCUAACUCCGUG
rnacentral:rRNA from 1 species